rnacentral:lncRNA from 1 species
GAAAAUAUCUAAUUGGGACAAUAAGCACCAUUCAGAUGAUGGUUACACCAAAAGUUCAUACUUAAUCACUAUGUGACAUGUCCCUGUAAUGAAAGUGCAUUUGUAUCCUCUAGUGUAUUAAUAAAGAGGACAAAAACUGACCUUUAUCAAGAGUGUAGACUGAAUAGACCUCAUAAUUUUCAUAAAUAUUUAGAUUNNNNNNNNNNCAUAAUUUUCAUAAAUAUUUAGAUUAGGCUGAAAAAUAAUUUUAAUAAAAAUGAAUAAUAAUAUUGGUUUUAAGAACAGUAUAAAAGAUAAUUUGAUGAAUUAGAGUAGUUAGCACUUAGCACAGACAAUAUGCAAGGCAACAUUCUAAGCCAUUAGACAUUUGUAGACAGAAUAUCUCACAGUGCAAAAUAACACAAAUAUUCAUUGGCAAUGACAAAUUGACAUAUUUUCAAUCAUAUUAGACAAUAUUAAAACCAUUAUAAAAUUUACUGUUUGUUUCAUAAUAAAGGAUCCUAAUGUUAAAUAAUUUCACUAAAAAGUUUGACUAAUUAGGCAUAUAGGUAAAUGGGCAGCAUGUUGACCAGUAAACAGAGUAUACACAUUAUUUUCAAAGACAAAACAAAAUUAUUUUAUAUUUAUUUAUUUAUUUAUCUGGGUGGGGGGAGCAGCUUUAUCAGCUAGGGAUGUGGUGGGGUUCUCUCCCUUGGAGGUGGGAUCCUCCACUGGUCAGCUUCAGCAGUGGUCCAGGAGGUGCCAUGCAAUUCAGUGCUGGACUCAGCUGGGGGCUAGGCCUUCAAGAAGGCAAACUUUGCAAGGAACAGUAGCUGUAGGGUCCUCACUGCCCAAUCCACCCUGCUGCACUGGGUCCCUGGUGCUCCUCAGGCUCCCGCCAAGCCUGUGUCUCUAUAUGGUAGUGACCCAUCCUGACCAGAACUUUCUCCUCAGAGCCAAGUUUGAUGCAGGCCAAGCAUUUCUGCUUCCUCUCAUUGGGAUGGACUUUGCACUCGGGUUUCCUCCAGUCCUUCUUCUGGCUGCUUGUCUACCUGAGCUUAAAUUCCAGCCUCACAAAUGCUCCAGCUGGGAAGAGCAUGUCCACAGUGCUGUCCACACUGGUCUCCCGGAAGCACACUGCAUGGGCAGGUGGAUUCCUAUAGGGCCACCAANNNNNNNNNNCCCACCUCCGGCACCUUGUUUUCAAGAGUUUAAAUUCCAGCCUUACAAAUGUUCCAGCUGGGAAGGGCGUCUCCACGGCGCGAUCCACACUGGUCUCCUGGAAGGCCCACUGUAAGUGUGAGUGGAUUCCUCCAGGGCCACCUGCAGGCCCUAGCGCUGGGCCACAAGCGCUCGGCCCCGCCGAUGGAAUUGCUCUGUUUGCUUUUGUUGCUUGUGUUCUUUGUGUAGGAUUCAAAACAUCAUUGCCACGACUAGUGGGUUGAACUAUUUUACACUCCCACCAACAGUGUAAAANNNNNNNNNNGCCCCCGCCCCCGCCCCGUCCACCCACGGGGCCAGCGGGAUCCACAGCCAUCUCUUGUUUCUGGCCACCAUCUCAUUUGUGGAUGGAUCCAGAUAUGAUAGUCACAAUUCCAACUGUAAACUAUUUCUGUAAGUGAGAUCCAGGACCUCCUGAGUGGGUUCUCUUCACAUUUAAUCCUAACUGUGGGCUGUGUUUGAUAGGUUAACAUAGUCUUUAGUUAGAAGUUGGUUGAGUUUCUAGUUAAGCUUAAGUUUUGUUUUACUAUUUACAUUAAGAUAGGUUUUGGUUUACUUAUCUGAGCCUAAUGGACUGCAAAUUAAUUAUGCUAUAAAUUUCUCCCUUUUGGUCCCCUUCUAAUUUAUGGGUGAGAUAAGCAUCAUCAAGGUCAGCCUGGAAAACAUACUGAGAUAGGGUCUCUUUUAAAAAAAUUACCUUGUACUACUCAUAGUCUUUUCCAUGAAUCUCUUUGAAGACAGAGUAGCUGCUAAGGCUUUUCAAAAAGCAUAAGAGUAAAGCAAUUAACUGUCUCUGGAUGACAAAAGAUUUAACAUGACCAUUGUUAAAUAUCUGAUAAGAGUUCAUGAUAAUGAAAUUGUCAAGAAAAUUUUAUUACUUCUGUGGCAUACAUUAAUUAAAAAUAAUAACCAAAAUUAUGACUGGUAACAUUAUACCUGAAGAUAAAUUUCUAGUAGGUUCAUACAAUUUCUAGAAAGCCAUGAACACCUUUUCUUUGCCUGGGGGGAUAUUAGAAGCUCAUUGUGGCAGAGUGAGAGAAUAGGGUGGACUAU